rnacentral:rRNA from 1 species
CACGUAGGGGGCAAGCGUUGCCCGGAUUUAUUGGGCGUAAAGAGCGUGUAGGCGGUUAGGUAGGUCCGUUGUGAAAACUCGAGGCUCAACCUCGAGACGCCGAUGGAAACCAUCUAACUAGAGUCCGGAAGAGGAGAGUGGAAUUCCUGGUGUAGCGGUGGAAUGCGCAGAUAUCAGGAGGAACACCGGUGGCGAAGGCGGGUCUCUGGGCCGUAACUGACGCUGAGGAGCGAAAGCAUGGGGAGCGAACAGG